AUGGAUAGGAACCCGCAAAUUCUUUGUUGGAACAUGAGGGGGCUGAACAAUCCAGAAAAAAGAAGCGCAGUUAGGGAUUUCGUUAUGUCGGCGAAGGUGAACCUUGUGUGUUUACAAGAGACCAAGAUUGUUGUAUUCGACCCGUUUAAUGUAAUGCAAUGUAUUGGGGCAUCUUUUGAUGGCUUUGACUACGUCCCGGCGACCGAUACGUGA
rnacentral:rRNA from 1 species